UAUGAACAUUAUAAUUUAAGCCAAACUAUCCCAUUGUAUCUUAACUAUUGUUUGUUGUGUGAUUUUAUUGGUGGCAGUUGUUUCUGUGGCUUCAGUAUACUUAUAUCAGCUUGGAUUCUUUUUUCAAGAAGGCCAAUAAACAAAGAUGAAAAAAGAAUAAGAAUUGAGUGUUUUGAGUAGAACGGGGGUUCAAGCAUUUUAAUGUUGUCAUAGUGUUUUGCAGAUGUUGUGAUCCCUGAAUCCAGCCCCCCCCUGGUAGAUUCAGAUGAAGAGACUUGCCUUGGCUGAACAUGACAUGUUUCUUGCUCCCACUUCCCCUUUGAGCCUCAAACCCCAGUAGAACAGGAUAGCAAGACACUAAUGAUUUGUAUCCUAGACUGUGUCUCUCUUUGACUUCCUGGAAUUCCUGUGCAGUUCCUGCAUCAUUGUUGAUCAACAGAAUUGUACAUGAAAGACUCUCUUCAUCUGUCUUUCAUCCCCUGGUUGAGGAUGUCCCUUUCAUCCUUUUCCUAAACGAGAAAUCAAGCAUGGCCCAGCAACAGUUUUUGUUUUUUGUUUCAGAUCUCUAGGUAACAUUUUAACGUGUGUCAUGUUCACAGCAUAGCAUCAUAAGUAAUAUUCCAGGAACUACUCUGUUGCUUGUUAAAAAGAAUAGGACCCCAGAGAUAUCUUUUAAAUAUGUCUGUAAAGUGAGAGGUGCCAAGAGAAAGAUAAUAUGGCUGAUUAUAGUUAUUUACCUUACAUUUUCAUUCGCCUUUAACUGGGUGUAAUUUAAGGGCAUGAAAUCUCUUAUUGGAGCUGUAUUUGCAUUAAACAGCUCUAAGCAACCAUGAAAGUGCAGAGGCUGAAAAAUUGACAGGCUGGGUUCCUAGAAUCCCAAAGUAGCAUUUUUGUAAUAGGCAUACAAACAAAUCAAAUAAACAUGUUUUGCUUCAAUGAUUUAAAGAAUAUGGUCUUUGGGGUAAUUUGUCUUUCUUUCUGUUUUUAUUUAAAGAAAAGGCUAUCAUUUCUAACCUUCCUUACGCCUAUCUCUAGUUUGCAGCUCCUCUUAACAAUCUGUAGCAAUUUCCAAACCAGCUGUUGAGAUUGCAUAGUGUUGUGUCUUGAGCUAGAUUUCCAUGAGCUAUCAAAUCAGGCUUUAAAAAGGCAACAUUACCUGGAUGGUAAUGCACCACGUGCAGUUCUUGUGUUGCUUUUGCAAUGUAUAUACAUUUUGCUUUUUAAUUAAAAAGGGGUAUUUAGAAAAGCACCAAAUGAGAGUAUUCAGGAAAUUGAAAAACUUGGUGUUCUUGCCCACUUAUCUUCCCUCCCCUUGCAUGAUUUGUAUUUUAUACUGAAAAGAACCACACUAACCUGAAGAGUCAUUUAAACAAGCUUAUGAGCUUUUUGAGAAACAGUUGACAGAUGUAGUGGUGGCAGACCACCAACAAUUUGCCACGUUUGAAGGCCUUGUGACUUUCAUUGUGCCAACCUAAACAUGCUGCUUGUCACCAGUGUUGACAAUGUUGUCAACUGCCAUUCGGAAGGGAUGUGUGUGUGGAUGAUGCCCUCUUGUCAUUUGCCUCAGGCAUAAACUGUGUUGGGCCAGUCGUGGGGGAAGUCAACAGUUUAAUACAAAAUAUAUCUUUCUUUGAGAUUAUGUCAAGCUAGCUCCAUAAAGUUAUGUCUCUGCAUAUCUACUGGGGCUUCCAUUCUGUAUCCAUGCCUUUAGUUGAACCAUGGGAUAUUCAGACAGAUUCCACAGAUGAUUACUUAGAGUCCAUGAACCUGAGGCUUUUUACUCAAGCCUCACUGAAAAUGCAUAGGAUUGCAGUCAUUAUGUAUAGCUGCUGCCAAGCUUUUACCACAAGCAUUUGAGUUUAGUUAAAAAUAAGAGGAUUGAUCUUUUCAUGAAAUGAGAUAUUGGCAGUAUAUCUAUAGAAUAAAUUCUACAGUAUUUGUGUUGUUUAGAAUACAAAGUAUGCAUUAAUUUGAGAAAUGAUUCCUUCAUUGUAGGUUAGGCUACCACCAGGGCUUUUUUUCACCCGAAACUAACUGCAACUCAGUUCCAGCGCCUCUCAGGUAGGCUCCAUUGCCAUUGUAAGAGAACAAGGGAGGUGUUCAUGGUGUGUUCCAGCACCUCUUUCUAGAAAAAUAGCACUGGCUGCCACAAUAAUGGAAGGGAUGCGGGUGGCGCUGUGGUCUAAACCACUGAGCCUAGGGCUUGCCGAUCGGAAGGUCAGCGGUUCGAAUCCCUGCGAUGGGGUGAGCUCCCGUUGCUCGGCCCCAACUGCUACCAACCUAGCAGUUCGAAAGCACGUCCAAGUGCAAGUAGAUAAAUAGGUACCACUCCGGCGAGAAUGUAAAUGGUGUUUCCAUGUGCUGCUCUGGUUCCGCCAGAAACGGCUUAGUCAUGCUGGCCACAUGACCCGGAAAAACUGUUUGCGGACAAAUGUCGGCUCCCUCGGCCAGUAAAGCUAGAUGAGUGCCGCAACCCCAGAGUCGUUCGCGACUGGACUUAACUGUCAGGGGUCCUUUACCUUUACCUUUUUACCACAAUAAUAGUACAUUUUUGUGGAACCAAAAUCUGGCAUUGAUAAUAGUCAUUAUUUGAUCUAUUCAUGUAUACUAGUCAUGGCUAUAUAUUACCUCUAGGAUCAGAGGCAACAAGCAUCUGAAAUACCAGUUACUUAAGAACAGCAGGAGAAAUAUACAGUGGUACCUCAGGUUAAGUACUUAAUUCGUUCUGGAGGUCCGUUCUUAACCUGAAACUGUGGUACAUUUCAUGGACAAGACUCAUGCCCUGGGCCUCAGCAUGGGCCAGGAAUUUAGAAUACCAGCAGGGGCAUGUUUGAAAUCAACCGAAUCCCCAAACAAAAAACCUCUCCCCUCCCCACUUUUUGGAAAGUCAGCAUGUUAGGGAGAACAGUUCUAGCCCAGCCUGUUGGGAAAGGGAAGCAUUCAUACUUAGCUGACCUACUUUUGUUGAUUUAUAGUCAGACUUGUGAAUGUUCAGUUUAAUGCAACAUUUUAAGAAUAGGCUCCAGACUGAUAGGUACCUAAAUCCCCCUUUCAAAACAAAUCUUCAUUCUCUUUGAAAAUUCUCUCCAGAGGUCAUGAUCCUUAGUAUCCUUUCUUGAAGUAAGUUCCAUUGAAAUGGAUGAGAGUUACAUCAAAAUACAUCUGUGUUUUGUCACUUUUCAAAAAGUAGCUUUUAAGCCUGGAAAACACAGAUCAUUUGAAAAUUAAAAUCUAUAUUGCCUGCUCUCUAGCUUUCUUAGUGCAAAUAAAUUAAAAUAUUCAAUAUCUUGCAUAUUAUAUAAUAUUGGGGCUGACCCGUACAAACUCUGUCUCCUCAACUCCCUCAUUCUAGCCUCUCUCCCUCCUUUACAAACACAGUACAUUUUAAUUUAGACUUGUCAGUCCAGACCUAAUGAAUACAUUCACAGUAAUGUUUUCAUCUUCCAGAGGUGAACUUGACUUAGAAAUUGUCCCUGAUGAUAUCAGUUUAAAGACUACUUGAGCUACUGGUUUAAGAAAAGUUCCUGUAUUUUGUUCUAUUGUUACUGAAGAAAAGGCUUCAGUGUAGUCAGAACGGUAGCAUUUGUAACUCAGUGCAGCAUAUUGCAACUAGGUGUGUAAGGAACCAGUAAUACAGAGCUUUCCAAACUUUUCAUGUUGGUGGCACACCUUUUAGACAUGCAUCAUUUCACAACACAGUAAUUCGGUGUUACUAGCAAACCGGAGGAUAAACUAACCCCUUUUCAGCCCCAAGAGGAGCACAGGAAGUGUUCACGCGACACACUUACACGCUGGAACUGACACACUAAUGUGUCGCGACACACAGUUUGGAAAGCUCUGUAGUAAUAUUUUAAGUUCAAACACAUACUCUUUAAUAGAAAGGUAAUUUAAUUUAGAAAUGAAUCAGAUUGAUUUGUAUAAAAGUGCAAUAGCACUCACAAACAAAUGUACUACUUACGUACUUUCAUCAUAUAAUAAAAUCAUCCUACCAUAUUAUUAAAUUGUACUAAACAGAAUGUUUGUUUCCACAACACAAAACAAAGUAAUGGCACUUGAUGAAUAGAGAAAUAGAGGCAGUGAGCUCCCCUCACCCAGGGCAUUUAUCCUGGGCAACAAGUUGAAUAUCAUCUCUGUGUUGGUCAAGGGCUAGCUAUUUCCAGAAAUUCACAGUUAGCUCAGAGCAGACAAGAGUUGAGUGAGGGCUGGGGCAAUUUCAUUGGUAUCUUAUGUGAGGUAAGCAGGGAAUAGCUGUUUCCUCUCUACUCCUCUAAUCUCCCUGUGACAUUUGUAUCAGUAUUGCAGUGGUGCACCAGCUUUAACUAAAGGGACUUAUUUUGUAUAAGUAUUAGGAUAGUGUACCAUGGAUUAUAGGGAUAUUUGGAAACCAGAUACAGUACACUGUUCUGGGCAACAUGCACACACAAGCAUGCAUACAUGCAUGCAAACACACAUGCAUACUCACUCAAUCCUGCCAUCAAUUGGGGUUGAAAACAGCCUUCCACUGGCAGUCAUGUGUCAAUUGGACAUGCGCAAAAUGGUUGCCCCCUGUAUAGUUACUAUAAGGGCUAAAGCAGACAAGAGCCAAAAGCAUUGCUUGCUGAUGCAUCUCUUUAAGUAUUAAUAGUAAUAGUAGGCAUUGGGAGAGCUACAAUUCUCAUUGGGACUAUGUUACAUGGCAAGUAACUAUUGACAUAUAACAUGUAAAAUGAUUUGAACUCUCAAUAGCACUAUAUUAUGUUUUGUAUUAUUUAAUAUUACUCACAGCCAUAACUGUAGCAACAAGAAGGGCUGAUCACACAACAUAAUAUGCACUAAUAGUUUAGUGUGUCUGAGUCACCUUAAUUUUCCAAGUCCUGUAAAUUGUGACAGUGUCAGAGACUAAAAUAGUUAACAGAAAAGCCAAAUCAGAACUAUACAGUAUCAUGUCUCUAAAAACAAGUUAGAAAGUUUUUUUUUUAACUAAUAGGGAUUUUGUUUCCAGGCUAAAAAAAAGACUAAAAAUAAACAGCUGUAUAGUACUUCAUUAAGCUGCCUGCUUGGAGUGAUUUUUCCCAUUGAUUAGUCUCAGGGCUAAUGCUGGUUCAUUCCUCAUUUCAUUGCUAAUUAACAUCAGCUCUGCUCCUGACCACUUGACCGCAUUCUUUCUAUGCACAUGUGCUGGUUUGGCAAGUAGCAAAUACUGUUCCUUCUUACAGAGUUUAGGGGUAUAAAUUGCUAUCAAGCAUGAAUUUUUCUAACUCCUUCCUCAGGAAACUUUUAGGGCUGUUUCUGUCUAAAGAGAAUAUACAUGCAGAAUUUUCUCACAUGAGUUUAUUAGAGCUGCUGGAUGCACAAGCGAUAGCGCACAUGCAGUGAAUAUCUUCUGAAAGUUUGUUUUUCAGCAGCUCAAGUCAGACCACCAAACAACUUUUUGGAAAUCCAAAGGACAUUAAAAGUGUGAACUGAUGGUGGAGGAGCAACUUUUAGGAAAGUUACAGUGCAUUUGGCAUGAUAAUACUGAUAUGGCAUGAUAAUACUGUUGGAACACUGACUCUACAUCAAAUGGAGGACAGCUGGUAACUCUAGUCAGACAAUUGGGCUUCUCUUGUUUUACCGUAAGUCCAGUGGUGGCCACCAUUUUUGUCAAGAGCACCACAAGUCAAGUCCAAAGUAUGAGACAGUGCCAUCUAGUGCACACUGCAGUACAUACAUAGCUUUCAAUGCUUUGUGUGGUUUGUUUGUUUGUUUGUUUUGCCUAUAAUGUGCUAAUCUGAAGAGUUGUAGCACAAAAGAGACAGGCAGUAAAGUAGAUGCUUUACUUGAUUCAAUAUCUGGAACAAGAGGUCCCCAUCCCAUUAUCCAGGACUGCUAUAAAACAUUUGUAGUGCCCAGGCCUUAUUGGCCACCCAAUCCAGUGGCAGAUGCAUUAUCGCUUGUGGGUCUCAUUGGGAGCUUGUGGAGGCUGUUUAUCUGACCCUUGGCGCUAUCUAGGACCACAUCCCUUCUAGACACUAUUUUUCAGAUAAUUUGGGUUUACAUGCCACUGGAAACUAAGCUGUUUUAUGAGAAGCCAGCUACUUUCCAUGGUAGCGAGCUGACUUCCAAGCGUGGGAGAUAGCAAUUUUAAAGACUGCCUCCCUUUCUAUCUAUUUAGUACUUGUCAUCCUUCACUAUGGGGUCCUAGAGCGAGCUGCAUAAAAUUAAAUAAAAUCACAGAAUCUAAAAUUAGUCAC